ACACAUGCAGUCGAGCGGAUGAGGGAGCUUGCUCCUGGAUUCAGCGGCGGACGGGUGAGUAAUGCCUAGGAAUCUGCCUGGUAGUGGGGGACAACGUUUCGAAAGGAACGCUAAUACCGCAUACGUCCUACGGGAGAAAGCAGGGGACCUUCGGGCCUUGCGCUAUCAGAUGAGCCUAGGUCGGAUUAGCUAGUUGGUGAGGUAAUGGCUCACCAAGGCGACGAUCCGUAACUGGUCUGAGAGGAUGAUCAGUCACACUGGAACUGAGACACGGUCCAGACUCCUACGGGAGGCAGCAGUGGGGAAUAUUGGACAAUGGGCGAAAGCCUGAUCCAGCCAUGCCGCGUGUGUGAAGAAGGUCUUCGGAUUGUAAAGCACUUUAAGUUGGGAGGAAGGGCAGUAAAUUAAUACUUUGCUGUUUUGACGUUACCGACAGAAUAAGCACCGGCUAACUCUGUGCCAGCAGCCGCUGUAAUACAGAGGGUGCAAGCGUUAAUCGGAAUUACUGGGCGUAAAGCGCGCGUAGGUGGUUUGUUAAGUUGGAUGUGAAAUCCCCGGGCUCAACCUGGGAACUGCAUCCAAAACUGGCAAGCUAGAGUAUGGUAGAGGGUGGUGGAAUUUCCUGUGUAGCGGUGAAAUGCGUAGAUAUAGGAAGGAACACCAGUGGCGAA
rnacentral:rRNA from 1 species